AGCUUUGUGCAGUGGUGGUAUUGUAGCCAAUGAGGUUUAUCCGAGGCGUGAUUAUUGCUAAUUGAAAACUUUUCCCAAUACCCCGCUGUGAUGACUUGAAAUAUAAUCAGCAUUGGCAAUUUUUGACAGUCUCUAUGGAGA
rnacentral:snRNA from 1 species